rnacentral:misc_RNA from 1 species
GAAAUGCGAUAAGUAGUGUGAAUUGCAGAAUUCAGUGAAUCAUCGAAUCUUUGAACGCACAUUGCGCCCCUUGGUAUUCCAUGGGGCAUGCCUGUUCGAGCGUCAUCUACACCCUCAAGCUCUGCUUGGUGUUGGGCGUCUGUCCCGCCCCCGCGCGUGGACUCGCCCCAAAUCCAUUGGCAGCGUUCCUUACCCCCUCUCGCGCAGCACAUUGCGCUUCUCGAGGGCGGCUCCGGGACGCGAUCCAGCAAGAUGACCACCGUCUUUGACCUCGGAUCAGGUAGGGAUACCCGCUGAACUUAAGC